UUGUGUGUUGUUUGCUGUGUGAUGUUGCCUGGAUCACAUUCCCAUCAUGCCAGCUCUCAAAUGGGGGAGACGAGUGUGGGGAGGUGGACAGGCAAAGGUUUCACCGCAAGUCUGUAUUUAAAAAAAUAAAAAAUAAAAUAAAAAAUGCACGUUCUUUGAGGCGACGUUGUUUUGGUGGCGUUUUUGCAGCAAAUCCGUGCUGUUAUUGAGCAGCAGUGUUUGGAAAAAUUAUUUUAAAAAUUUAAAUAUUUAUAUAAAAAAAUUACGUUUUAAAUUACUCUUAAUAAAUGUAUUUACUUACUACGGAAAUUCAUUAUUGCGUUACUUUGAAAAAACAAACAAAAAAACAAAAAUAUCUGCUAUAUACACUUGGAAGACGUUUCAUGAAAGCAGAGUGUGUAAGCGUGUGCCUGUUGCCAAUGCACAAAUGAGGUAUUGUAGGACUGCAAGAUUAUCACUUCAAUCAUUGAUGUGUUGUUCAUUAUCCCCACGUUGCAAAAGUAGUGUGUACUUGUGUGUUGUUUGCUGUGUGAUGUUGCCUGGAUCACAUUCCCAUCAUGCCAGCUCUCAAAUGGGGGAGACGAGUGUG